GAUGAACGCUGGCGGCGUGCCUAAUACAUGCAAGUCGAGCGAACAGACGAGGAGCUUGCUCCUCUGACGUUAGCGGCUGACGGGUGAGUAACACGUGGAUAACCUACCUAUAAUACUUGGAUAACUUCGGGAAACCGGAGCUACUACCGGAUAAUAUAUUGUACCGCAUGGUUCAAUAGUUAAAGACGGUUUUGCUGUCACUUAUAGAUGGAUCCGCGCCGCAUUAGAUAGUUGGUAAGGUAACGGCUUACCAAGGCAACGAUGCGUAGCCGACCUGAGAGGGUGAUCGGCCACACUGGAAAUGAGAAAAGGUCCAGAAUCCUAAGGGAGGCAGCAGUAGGGAAUCUUCCGAAAAGGGGGAAAGCUUGACGGAGGAAAGCCGCGUGAGGGAUGAAGGUCUUCGGAUCGGAAAACUCUGUUAUUAGGGAAGAACAAAUGUGUAAGUAACUAUGCACGGCUUGACGGUAACUAAUCAGAAAGCCACGGCUAACUACGUG
rnacentral:rRNA from 1 species